AGUGGAGUAGCUGGGUCAUUUGUGGUUCUAUUCCUAGUUUUUGAGGAAUCUCAAAACUGCUUUUCAGAAGGGUUCUACUAGUCUGCAGUCCCACAAGCCAU
rnacentral:pre_miRNA from 1 species